rnacentral:rRNA from 1 species
GCUAUACAUGCAGUCGAACGAACUUCCGUUAAUUGAUUAUGACGUACUUGUACUGAUUGAGAUUUUAACACGAAGUGAGUGGCGAACGGGUGAGUAACACGUGGGUAACCUGCCCAGAAGUAGGGGAUAACACCUGGAAACAGAUGCUAAUACCGUAUAACAGAGAAAACCGCAUGGUUUUCUUUUAAAAGAUGGCUCUGCUAUCACUUCUGGAUGGACCCGCGGCGUAUUAGCUAGUUGGUGAGGUAAAGGCUCACCAAGGCAGUGAUACGUAGCCGACCUGAGAGGGUAAUCGGCCACAUUGGGACUGAGACACGGCCCAGACUCCUACGGGAGGCAGCAGUAGGGAAUCUUCCACAAUGGACGCAAGUCUGAUGGAGCAACGCCGCGUGAGUGAAGAAGGGUUUCGGCUCGUAAAGCUCUGUUGUUAAAGAAGAACGUGGGUAAGAGUAACUGUUUACCCAGUGACGGUAUUUAACCAGAAAGCCACGGCUAACUACGUGCCAGCAGCCGCGGUAAUACGUAGGUGGCAAGCGUUAUCCGGAUUUAUUGGGCGUAAAGCGAGCGCAGGCGGUCUUUUAAGUCUAAUGUGAAAGCCUUCGGCUCAACCGAAGAAGUGCAUUGGAAACUGGGAGACUUGAGUGCAGAAGAGGACAGUGGAACUCCAUGUGUAGCGGUGAAAUGCGUAGAUAUAUGGAAGAACACCAGUGGCGAAGGCGGCUGUCUGGUCUGCAACUGACGCUGAGGCUCGAAAGCAUGGGUAGCGAACAGGAUUAGAUACCCUGGUAGUCCAUGCCGUAAACGAUGAUUACUAAGUGUUGGAGGGUUUCCGCCCUUCAGUGCUGCAGCUGACGCAUUAAGUAAUCCGCCUGGGGAGUACGACCGCAAGGUUGAAACUCAAAAGAAUUGACGGGGGCGCGCACAAGCGGUGGAGCAUGUGGUUUAAGUCGAAGCUACGCGAAGAACCUUACCAGGUCUUGACGUCUUCUGACAGUCUAGGAAAUAAGAGGUUCCCUUCGGCGACUGAAUGACAGGUGAUGCAUGGUUGUCGUCAGCUCCUGUCGUGAGAUGUUGGGUGAAGUCCCGCAACGA